rnacentral:rRNA from 1 species
AACGAACGCUGGCGGCAUGCCUAACACAUGCAAGUCGAACGAAGCCUUCGGGCUUAGUGGCGCACGGGUGCGUAACACGUGGGAAUCUGCCCUUCGGUUCGGAAUAACAGUUAGAAAUGACUGCUAAUACCGGAUGAUGACGUAAGUCCAAAGAUUUAUCGCCGAAGGAUGAGCCCGCGUAGGAUUAGGUAGUUGGUAGGGUAAUGGCCUACCAAGCCGACGAUCCUUAGCUGGUCUGAGAGGAUGAUCAGCCACACUGGGACUGAGACACGGCCCAGACUCCUACGGGAGGCAGCAGUGGGGAAUAUUGGACAAUGGGCGAAAGCCUGAUCCAGCAAUGCCGCGUGAGUGAUGAAGGCCUUAGGGUUGUAAAGCUCUUUUACCAGGGAUGAUAAUGACAGUACCUGGAGAAUAAGCUCCGGCUAACUCCGUG